CUUAUUCAAACAACUACAACGUGGUUGCCUAGUUCCUCAGUUUAGAGGAAAUACUUUCAGUUUUUCCACAUUAGAAUAUUGUUGGCCAUAGUUUUGUCACAUAUAGCCUUUACUAUGCUAUGUUUCUUCUAUUUCUAGUGUCUCUAGGGAUUUUACUUGAAGGAGUGUUAAAUUUUGUCAAGAAACUUUUCUGAAUCUAUAUUUGUGUUAUAAGGAAUUUGAAACAGUAAAGAAAAUCAUCCUCACCCAUAUGUGUGGAUAUCAAACAUCUGUUGAGGACUAGAUAGACCAAAGUGGUGGAAGAAAGUAGAGUUUGCUUUUCUGGAGGUAGGACACUUACUUUUCCUGCUCACUUUGAACUUCUAGUUCUUAGCACUUUGGACUUGAUCUGAAUUGUUCUCCAGGCUCUCCUGAAUCUCCAAAUUCUAGACUAUAGAUGAAGGGACUUAUUCUCCUUAUUUGUUUAAGUUGACUCCAUAGAUAGGAUCUGUUAUCUGUCAACCUAUCUAUUUGUCCAUCCAUCCAUCCAUCCUUCCAUCCACCCACCCACCCACCCAUCCACUCAUCUAUCCAUCAUCUCUCAUUGGUUCUAUUUCUCUGGAGAAUCCCCACAGAAGGAUUACACUAUAAGGUUCUCUGAAUCCCUGGGGUUAAGAUUUUGAUAUUUAAAGUUAUUCUCUGAUAUUCUCUUUAUAUUUAAAGUUAGCCUCUGAAGUUUAAAAACAGAAAGAAAAGAAAAGAAGCAACCCUCUUCUGUUCCUUCAAAGCCAGCCUUUGAGGUUGUUGUCCAUGGCUUUUGUUCUGCCUGGUGAUCCUACCCUGAGGGUGGUGUAUACAGAAGUGCUUGUAACUGCUGAGUGGAAGAGAAAAGAAAGGUUGAUAGACAAAAAAGCAACUCCUUGAACUUUACAGGAGUAAGUAAAAAAAAAAAAUUAGAAAGCUGUCCCACUUGAGUUGAGAAGCCAUGGUUUCUGAAAGAGGUCUCCCAACAGAAGCCUGCAGCGUUUCCAGGAAGCUGGAUGGGGAAGUGGCUGGGGAAACAGCAUGGUGAGUCGUCUGACAGCUUCCAGGAAUUUUGUCAUAGGUCUCCUGGAACUGCAGAGCAGGAGUCACCAGUGUUUCUGUGACAUUGUGAGGAGUCCAGGCCAAGAGGACCAAUGGGCUGUCUGGAUGAUGACACCUUAGAACGGGGAGCAGCCCAUCCAGGGAGGCUGAGAAGUCCCACCUCCUGCUGACUGCUGGGCGCCCCCAGGAAAACUGGUGAUAUAACUCAGUAGAAUAAAAGAAACUGUCUGGAAAGUCAGAAAGAAUAUUCCACAGACCUGGACAGUGCUGGGGAGUUUGGAAACUGAGCAGAAAAAGGGCAAGAGCAUGGUCUGAAGAAGAGGUGGAGCAGAAAGAUGAUUGUGGAAGAGGUAAGAGGCAGCGGUCCCUGUGGACAGAAAGACCGCUCCUGAUUGUCUUGAAGAUCCUAGCUCCAAAUGUUCAGAUGGGAGUAUACAACAUGAAGCCACACAGACACCUGGAAAGUAAGAAUGGACCAUGCAUUCGAGGAGAAAGAGCUCUAGAGAGAGACUGAUGGCAGAACACAAGGGCUGUUAAA